rnacentral:misc_RNA from 1 species
UCCGAGUUGACCCCGGCAGUCUCAUAUGAGUUCCCACCAUUACGUGCUGGCAACAUACGACGAGGGUUGCGCUCGUUGCGGGACUUAACCCAACAUCUCACGACACGAGCUGACGACAACCAUGCACCACCUGUGAAGGUGCCCCGAAGGGAAGCCGUGUUUCCACGGCGGUCACCCACAUGUCAAGCCCAGGUAAGGUUCUUCGCGUUGCGUCGAAUUAAACCACAUGCUCCGCUGCUUGUGCGGGUCCCCGUCAAUUCCUUUGAGUUUUAGCCUUGCGGCCGUACUCCCCAGGCGGUUCACUUAAUGCGUGAGCUGCGAUACUGGAGGGGUCAACUCCCCCAACAUCUAGUGAACAUCGUUUACGGCGUGGACUAC